rnacentral:rRNA from 1 species
CCUACGGGGGGCUGCAGUGAGGAAUAUUGGUCAAUGGGCGCGAGCCUGAACCAGCCAAGUCGCGUGAGGGAGGACGGCCCUACGGGUUGUAAACCUCUUUUGCCGGGGAGCAACGGGCGUCACGUGUGGCGCCACUGCGAGUACCCGGAGAAAAAGCAUCGGCUACCUCCGUGCCAGCAGCCGCGGUAAUACGGAGGGUGCGAUCGUUGUCCGGAUUUAUUUGGUUUAAAGGGUGCGUAGGCGGAUCGUUAAGUCAGUGGUCAAAUUUGGGGGCUCAACCCCUUCCCGCCAUUGAAACUGGCGCUCUUGAGUGGAAGAGAGGGAGGCGGAAUGCGUGGUGUAGCGGUGAAAUGCAUAGAUAUCACGCAGAACCCCGAUGGCGAAGGCAGCAUGCCGGCUUCCGACUGACGCUGAAGCACGAAAGCGUGGGGAUCGAACAGGAUUAGAUACCCCAGUAGUC